rnacentral:rRNA from 1 species
CGACCUGCUAUUAGAUUGAUAUUAAGCCAUGUUAGUCAUUGUAGUAACACAAGGCAGACGGCUCAGUAACAUGUAGUCAACCUAACUUAUGGACGGGGAUCACCUCGGGAAACUGAGAAUAAUACCCGAUAGGUCAUAACGCCUGGAAUGGUUUAUGACUCAAAUGAAUGUCCGCCGUAGGAUGGGACUGCGAGCUAUCAGCUUGUUGGUGAGGUAAUGGCCCACCAAGGCUAUAACAGUUACGGGCUCUGAGAGGAGUAGCCCGGAGAUGGGUACUGAGACAAGACCCCCAGCGCCCCUAUGGGGCGCAGCAGGCGAGAAAACUUGUGCAAUGCGCAGAAAGUCUGCGCACAGAGUGUUAAUUUGAGUGUGUCCUCUGUCUAAGAGGAACCUUUUGUUAUGUGGUGAGAACCACUGAUGACAUCGGGGUGUGGC